CAAAUUCAAAUUCAACUUUAUUUACCAGACAAUAAGCUGGAAGGUCCGCUGGGCUAAAAGCCGUGAAAACGGCUUGACAGGGCCCAGGUGACCGUUACAUGGCAGCAGCUGUACAAGGUGCGCAGGAAAAUGAAUAAGAU
rnacentral:lncRNA from 1 species